rnacentral:rRNA from 1 species
UAAUACGUAAGUCGCAAGCGUUAUCCGGAAUUAUUGGGCGUAAAGCGUCCGUAGGCGAUUCAAUCAGUCUGAUGUUAAAUCUCAGGGCUCAACCCUGAAAUCGUAUCGGAAACUAUUGAGAUAGAGUAGUGCAGGGGCAGAUGGAAUUCCAGAAGUAGGGGUAAAAUCCGUAGAUCUCUGGAGGAACACCAAACGCGAAGGCAUUCUGCUGGGCACUCACUGACGCUAAGGGACGAAAGCAUGGGUAGCGAACGGGAUUAGAUACCCCGGUAGUCCAUGCCGUAAACGAUGGAUACUCGGUAUCGGAGGCUUCGACCCCCUCGGUGCCUAAGCUAACGCAUUAAGUAUCCCGCCUGGGUAGUACGGCCGCAAGGUUA